rnacentral:rRNA from 1 species
AUACGUAGGGGGCGAGCGUUAUCCGGAAUUAUUGGGCGUAAAGAGUGCGUAGGUGGUCUUGUAAGCGUGGGGUGAAAGGCAGUGGCUUAACCAUUGUAAGCCCUGCGAACUGUGAGACUUGAGUGCAGGAGAGGAAAGCGGAAUUCCUAGUGUAGCGGUGAAAUGCGUAGAUAUUAGGAGGAACACCAGUAGCGAAGGCGGCUUUCUGGACCGUAACUGACACUGAGGCACGAAAGCGUGGGGAGC